rnacentral:misc_RNA from 1 species
AUACGACGACCAUGAAGAUCCUGAGAGAUAGAAUGAUAAUUAAAAGACAAAAAGGAAACGCUGGCAAGACACAAACUCCAGGCAGUUAACACUAGAAAUCAAGGGUUCACCGUGGCAGACUUGCGACACGGACAAAGCAUUAGUCAAGAUAAACCUGGAUGAAUGACGUUGAAACUAGUUGCAUUUUCAUAACCCAAUGAAACAAGCUGAUAUUUUAUUUUUAAAAGGAAAAAAAAUCUCUGAUGCAAAGCUUUAUGAUUUAUAAAGCAAAUACUAAUGGACUACUAAAUUAGUAAAUUCGAAGGAAAGACUCCAAAGCACAGAAAAAGAAAAUGGUCUGGCACUCUAAUUUUCAAAAUCAAUGAAUGUUCCUCCAUCAAAUUAUUUAAGCUCAAUACUUGGUUGAAAAUCCUAUGAUUUAACCAGCCUAGUAUUUCAUGUCAAAUGUUGGUGAAGGCAGCAGAAAGCAAUAUUGCCAAAAAUGACAGCUAUGCCAACAUAAAUAGGACUAAGGUUUGGUCAUACGGUGAUUUUGUAUGGUCAAUGACUAGGGAAAAUACUGAAAUAGUAUAGUUGUAAGGCUGAAAGCUUAAUAGAUAGUAUAGAUAGGAAGUAUGUUGAGCAAUUAUAAUAUGGAAAUAUCCCACUAAAUCCAGGGGAGAAAGUGGGAGAUGCAGUGAGAACAGAGACAAUGGCAGCUUAAACAGAUAGCAGACAACAUGCGCAACAAAAAAGGAACAGUAUUUGAGCUUGUAUGACAGAUCAUGCUAUGAUUCUAUUACCGCACAUAAAAGGAAGUGUCUCUUUGAGCUGGAAAGAGAAAUCUUACUAAAAACAUUACAUAAGCUCGAAGAAAAUAAACUAGCCCUGAGAGGAGAAAAUGGCAAAAGUGAGGGGCAAAAGGAGGAGGGCAAGGAGGAAAAGGGGCAAAAAAAGGCACCACAGCUCAUACAGAUAUCAUAUCAUUCUAGACAAAUAUGUACUCAGUAUAAUAUGCCUUAGAAAACAUAUCUUAUCCUCAUAAAAUAAGUAAUAUGAACACAUGUCCAACUCAGCAGUCUUUACUGUGUGUACAGCAAUUUAAGUUAUGAGAGGAGACGAUGGAUAAUAAAAAAUAAUAAUAAAUUCCAAAAAGAUCUUCUUUCUCCCAAAUAUUUGAAUGCGUUGCUUCCUCAUUCAUGAUUAUGGCUAUAUUUAGGAAGAAAAAUAGUUAAUGUCAAUCUCAUUUUUUUUAUUGGCAGAAUUUCUUACCAGAUCUCAGAUCUUAGAAAGAAACUGCAACUUAAAGUUUCUAUUUACUAACCUCACUUCUCUCUAAACUCCAUUUCCAUUCACUACCAGCAUAAACACAACCAAACAACAGAGAGAACAACAUUACCUGUCCAUCCAGGG